rnacentral:tRNA from 1 species
CCUCCCGUAGUUUAAUGGAUAAAACAGGAGACUUCUAAGCUCUUGAUGUAGGUUCGAUUCCUGCCGGGAGGA